UCGCAAUUCGAUCCACCGACAUCGUCUGCUCGAGUCAUCCGAGAUGAAAGUGAAACGUUGUUGCCUCUGUCUAUAAAAAUAGAGAGAUAGCGCCGCGAACAAACGUGACUAAACAGCACCGACACGUCGCGGAUGGUGAAAGGACGAAACUGUCUCUCAAAGAUUUUACGCGGGAAGAUGGCUAUCGAUCAAGGCGGAGUAAACUCCACAGAAAAGUGGUUCACCCUUCGAACCCCGAGUGGCACGAGUCUACUCGCGUUACGACACGCUGCCGGUAGGCCUGAUAAUUUAUUAUUACUGAAGAAAUGGAAGCCGCCAAUCUAUUAGCACGUUCGACAAUAACAGCACCGGCCCUAUACAUAUGCCAUCUCCGACGGUGCUGGUCGGUCGCGAUCAGCUUGUUCAAGCGGCAUCGAUCACGACGGUACGGAGAUACCAUAUGUUGUACGAGAGAAGUUCGCACGAGCUGAGAAAAAUUGCAUUAGGUAGUGAAACGUUUCAGAAAAUGAUGAAUCGAUCGAAAGAUAGAAGGCUAACUUGACGAACGACAUUAUUGUAUCGUAGUAGCGUUUGAUCAUGCUUGAUUCGGAAGAUCGUGUUGAUUUUGAUCUAUAGGAGCUAGGGAACGCUUCGAUCGUGCGAUUUGAGUUCUCUUCGCGCGUUUAAUAUAAUAAUUUUUAGGUUAGCCACCUAAAUAUGCUUCAGCAUUAGCGAUUGAUUUUGAAAAAUUAUGAAUUUGUCGAAAAGAAUAGGUCUAACUCGACACUGGACAUCCUGAAUGCUACUAUAAUCCUUGCAUUAAUAAUAACAUAUGUACGAAUUUUGAAAUAAUUAUUGUAAAGAAACGAAUCCUACAUAACAGUAUUGUGUCAUACUAAAGAGUAAACGUUCUCAUCCUUUGGUAGUACAUCGAAUCCACGAUAUACUGUUCGUUAAUUUCCAACAAAAAUCUAUUUACAUGCAAUUACAUUCUGCCUAUUGUGAAUAAAGAGUGUACAAAUAUUGUCCUGCAAUUCUUCUAAAAAAUAAAUAAAAUUUCCUCGCAAUUCGUCUCAUUCGAUCCUUCUCAAUAAUAAGUUUGCCGACCUCUGCUAUGGGCCUUCGUUGGGAGCAUAAAUAUACUUCGAAGAUCCUUUCUGCGUCUCG